rnacentral:rRNA from 1 species
GACGAACGCUGGCGGCGUGCCUAAUACAUGCAAGUAGAACGCUGAAGAGAGGAGCUUGCUCUUCUUGGAUGAGUUGCGAACGGGUGAGUAACGCGUAGGUAACCUGCCUUGUAGCGGGGGAUAACUAUUGGAAACGAUAGCUAAUACCGCAUAACAAUGGAUGACACAUGUCACUUAUUUGAAAGGGGCAAUUGCUCCACUACAAGAUGGACCUGCGUUGUAUUAGCUAGUAGGUGAGGUAAUGGCUCACCUAGGCGACGAUACAUAGCCGACCUGAGAGGGUGAUCGGCCACACUGGGACUGAGACACGGCCCAGACUCCUACGGGAGGCAGCAGUAGGGAAUCUUCGGCAAUGGGGGCAACCCUGACCGAGCAACGCCGCGUGAGUGAAGAAGGGUUUCGGAUCGUAAAGCUCUGUUGUAAGUCAAGAACGGGUGUGAGAGUGGAAAGUUCACACUGUGACGGUAGCUUACCAGAAAGGGACGGCUAACUACGUG